UGGGGAAUUUUGGACAAUGGGCGAAAGCCUGAUCCAGCAAUGCCGCGUGUGUGAAGAAGGCCUUCGGGUUGUAAAGCACUUUUGUCCGGAAAGAAAUCCUUGGCUCUAAUACAGUCGGGGGAUGACGGUACCGGAAGAAUAAGCACCGGCUAACUACGUGCCAGCAGCCGCGGUAAUACGUAGGGUGCAAGCGUUAAUCGGAAUUACUGGGCGUAAAGCGUGCGCAGGCGGUUUGCUAAGACCGAUGUGAAAUCCCCGGGCUCAACCUGGGAACUGCAUUGGUGACUGGCAGGCUAGAGUAUGGCAGAGGGGGGUGGAAUUCCACGUGUAGCAGUGAAAUGCGUAGAGAUGUGGAGGAAUACCGAUGGCGAAGGCAGCCCCUGGGCCAAUACUGACGCUCAUGCACGAAAGCGUGGGGAGCAAACGGGAUUAGAUACCCUGGUAGUCCACGCCCUAAACGAUGUCAACUAGUUGUUGGGAUUCAUUUCCUAGUAACGUAGCUAACGCGUGAAGUUGACCGCCUGGGGAGUACGGUCGCAAGAUUAAAACUC
rnacentral:rRNA from 1 species